rnacentral:rRNA from 1 species
CUACGGGACGCAGCAGUGAGGAAUAUUGGUCAAUGGGCGAGAGCCUGAACCAGCCAAUCCGCGUGCAGGAUGACGGCCCUAUGGGUUGUAAACUGCUUUUGUAUGGGAAGAACUCCCUGACGUGUCAGGGGCUGACGGUACCAUACGAAUAAGCAUCGGCUAACUCCGUGCCAGCAGCCGCGGUAAUACGGAGGAUGCGCGCGUUAUCCGGAUUUAUUAGGUGUAAAGGGUGCGUAGGCUGAAUAGUCAGUCAGUGGUGAAAUCCUACGGCUUAACCGUAGAACUGCCAUUGAUACUGCUAUUCUUGAGUACAGUUGAGGUAGGCGGAAUGUGUAGUGUAGCGGUGAAAUGCUUAGAUAUUACACAGAACACCGAUUGCGAAGGCAGCUUACUAAACUGUCACUGACGCUGAGGCACGAAAGCGUGGGGAGCGAACAGGAUUAGAUACCCUUGUAGUC